GCAAGCCAGGAAGAGGCCUCCCCGGGACCUGAGUGGGCUGCACCUUGAUCUUGGACUUCCAGCCUCCAGACCUGUGAGAGUAAAUCCCACUUGUCUAAGUCCCUUGACCGUGUCGUUUGUUACAGAAGCCUGAGCAGGUGAGCACAGAGGAUGGGACUGCUCACAGGCCAUCUGCCGCCUUUGCUUUUCUUGCCACAUUUCCGGCCAGAGGCCCAGCCCACCCACAGCGGCACCAAGUGAGUGCCCAGCAGCUGUCAGCCCCUCCCCAUCCCAGCCCUUCCUCAGUGUGGUCCAGGAAGAACUCACCUCACCGGCUACUCUUCCAGGAGAGAAAUACUGUCUCAUCCCUCAUGAUGACCGCACAGGACAGGCACAGGGAGGGCUGGGAACGCAGGAGGCCUCCGGCGCCGUGCUCUGGGAGCAGACAAGCUGCGGGUGUCCUGCCUCGCACCCUGCUUUG
ensembl:lincRNA